rnacentral:rRNA from 1 species
UACGGGGGGGGUAAGCGUUGUUCGGAAUUACUGGGCGUAAAGGGCUCGUAGGCGGCCAACUAAGUCAUACGUGAAAUCCCUCAGCUUAACUGGGGACUGCGUGUGAUACUGGAUGGCUUGGAUUUGGGAGAGGGAUGCGGAAUUCCAGGUGUAGCGGUGAAAUGCGUAGAUAUCUGGAGGAACACCGGUGGCGAAGGCGGCAUCCUGGACCAAUAUUGACGCUGAGGAGCGAAAGCCAGGGGAGCCAAAGCGGG